GACGAACGCUGGCGGCGUGCUUAACACAUGCAAGUCGAACGGAAAGGCCCUGCUUUUGUGGGGUGCUCGAGUGGCGAACGGGUGAGUAACACGUGAGUAACCUGCCCUUGACUUUGGGAUAACUUCAGGAAACUGGGGCUAAUACCGGAUAGGAGCUCCUGCUGCAUGGUGGGGGUUGGAAAGUUUCGGCGGUUGGGGAUGGACUCGCGGCUUAUCAGCUUGUUGGUGGGGUAGUGGCUUACCAAGGCUUUGACGGGUAGCCGGCCUGAGAGGGUGACCGGCCACAUUGGGACUGAGAUACGGCCCAAACUCCUACGGGAGGCAGCAGUGGGGAAUAUUGCACAAUGGGCGGAAGCCUGAUGCAGCAACGCCGCGUGCGGGAUGACGGCCUUCGGGUUGUAAACCGCUUUCGCCUGUGACGAAGCGUGAGUGACGGUAAUGGGUAAAGAAGCACCGGCUAACUACGUGCCAGCAGCCGCGGUGAUACGUAGGGUGCGAGCGUUGUCCGGAUUUAUUGGGCGUAAAGGGCUCGUAGGUGGUUGAUCGCGUCGGAAGUGUAAUCUUGGGGCUUAACCCUGAGCGUGCUUUCGAUACGGGUUGACUUGAGGAAGGUAGGGGAGAAUGGAAUUCCUGGUGGAGCGGUGGAAUGCGCAGAUAUCAGGAGGAACACCAGUGGCGAAGGCGGUUCUCUGGGCCUUUCCUGACGCUGAGGAGCGAAAGCGUGGGGAGCGAACAGGCUUAGAUACCCUGGUAGUCCACGCUGUAAACGGUGGGUACUAGGUGUGGGGUCCAUUCCACGGGUUCCGUGCCGUAGCUAACGCUUUAAGUACCCCGCCUGGGGAGUACGGCCGCAAGGCUAAAACUCAAAGGAAUUGACGGGGCCUCGCACAAGCGGCGGAGCAUGCGGAUUAAUUCGAUGCAACGCGUAGAACCUUACCUGGGUUUGACAUGGAUCGGGAGUGCUCAGAGAUGGGUGUGCCUCUUUUGGGGUCGGUUCACAGGUGGUGCAUGGCUGUCGUCAGCUCGUGUCGUGAGAUGUUGGGUUAAGUCCCGCAACGAGCGCAACCCUUGUUCACUGUUGCCAGCACGUUAUGGUGGGGACUCAGUGGAGACCGCCGGGGUCAACUCGGAGGAAGGUGGGGAUGACGUCAAGUCAUCAUGCCCCUUAUGUCCAGGGCUUCACGCAUGCUACAAUGGCUGGUACAGAGAGUGGCGAGCCUGUGAGGGUGAGCGAAUCUCGGAAAGCCGGUCUCAGUUCGGAUUGGGGUCUGCAACUCGACCUCAUGAAGUCGGAGUCGCUAGUAAUCGCAGAUCAGCAACGCUGCGGUGAAUACGUUCCCGGGGCU
rnacentral:rRNA from 1 species